GACGAACGCUGGCGGCGUGGAUUAGGCAUGCAAGUCGAACGGUAUCAUCCUUUCGGGGGUGAGAGAGUGGCGAACUGGUGAGUAACACGUAGGUUAUCUACCCUCAAGACGGGGACAACCCAGGGAAACUUGGGCUAAUACCGGAUGUGAGCAACUUUUUAGUUGUUUGAAAGGUGGCGUAAGCUGUCGCUUGGGGAUGAGCCUGCGUCCUAUUAGUUAGUUGGUGAGGUAACGGCUCACCUAGGCAAUGAUAGGUAGGCGGCCUUAACGGGUGGUCGCCCACACUGGGAUUGAGAUACGGCCCAGACUCCUACGGGAGGCAGCAGUCGAGAAUAGUCUACAAUGGUCGGAAGACUGAUAGUGCGACGCCGCGUGAACGAUGAAUCCCUUCGGGGUGUAAAGUUCUUUUAUAUGUGAGCAGUGCUUCUUAUAUUAACAGUAUGGGGAGAGAGAUAUUAGCAUAUGAAUAAGCAACGGCUAACUCCGUGCCAGCAGCCGCGGUAAUCU
rnacentral:rRNA from 1 species